UACAGAGGUCUCAAGCGUUGUUCGGAUUCAUUGGGCGUAAAGGGUGCGUAGGUGGCGCCGUAAGUCGGGUGUGAAAUUUCGGAGCUUAACUCCGAAACUGCAUUCGAUACUGCGGUGCUUGAGGACUGGAGAGGAGACUGGAAUUCAUGGUGUAGCAGUGAAAUGCGUAGAGAUCAUGAGGAAGACCAGUGGCGAAGGCGGGUCUCUGGGCCGAUACUGACGCUGAGGAGCGAAAGCGUGGGGAGCGAACAGG
rnacentral:rRNA from 1 species